rnacentral:rRNA from 1 species
ACGCACGCUGGCGGCGUGCUUAACACCUGCAAGUCGAACGGAAAGGCCCUGCUUGCCGGGUACUCGAGUGGCGAACGGGUGAGUAACACGUGGGUGAUCUGCCCUGCACUUCGGGAUAAGCCUGGGAAACUGGGUCUAAUACCGGAUAGGAGCCAUUUUUAGUGUGAUGGUUGGAAAGUUUUUUCGGUGUAGGAUGAGCUCGCGGCCUAUCAGCUUGUUGGUGGGGUAAUGGCCUACCAAGGCGGCGACGGGUAGCCGGCCUGAGAGGGUGGACGGCCACAUUGGGACUGAGAUACGGCCCAGACUCCUACGGGAGGCAGCAGUGGGGAAUAUUGCACAAUGGGCGCAAGCCUGAUGCAGCGACGCCGCGUGGGGGAUGACGGCCUUCGGGUUGUAAACUCCUUUCGCUAGGGACGAAGCUUUUUGUGACGGUACCUAGAUAAGAAGCACCGGCUAACUACGUG